rnacentral:rRNA from 1 species
UACGUAGGAGGCGAGCGUUGUCCGGAAUUACUGGGCGUAAAGCGUGCGCAGGCGGUUAUGUAAGACAGAUGUGAAAUGCCCGGGCUUAACCUGGGAACUGCAUUUGUGACUGCAUGGCUAGAGUUUGGCAGAGGGGGGUAGAAUUCCACGUGUAGCAGUGAAAUGCGUAGAUAUGUGGAGGAACACCGAUGGCGAAGGCAGCCCCCUGGGUCAAGACUGACGCUCAUGCACGAAAGCGUGGGGAGCAAACAGG